rnacentral:rRNA from 1 species
GAUGAACGCUGGCGGCGUGCCUAAUACAUGCAAGUCGAACGCUUUGUCUUUAACUGAUAUGAAGAGCUUGCUCUGAUUUGAUUUUAUCUGACAAAGAGUGGCGAACGGGUGAGUAACACGUGGGUAACCUACCUCUUAGCAGGGGAUAACAUUUGGAAACAAGUGCUAAUACCGUAUAAUACCAACAACCGCAUGGUUGUUGGUUGAAAGGUGGUUCUGCUAUCACUAAGAGGUGGACCCGCGGUGCAUUAGCUAGUUGGUAAGGUAACGGCUUACCAAGGCAAUGAUGCAUAGCCGAGUUGAGAGACUGAUCGGCCACAAUGGGACUGAGACACGGCCCAUACUCCUACGGGAGGCAGCAGUAGGGAAUCUUCCACAAUGGGCGCAAGCCUGAUGGAGCAACGCCGCGUGUGUGAUGAAGGGUUUCGGCUCGUAAAACACUGUUAUAAAAGAAGAACGGCACUGAGAGUAACUGUUCAGUGUGUGACGGUAUCUUACCAGCAAGGAACGGCUAAAUACGUGCCAGCAGCCGCAGUAA